rnacentral:rRNA from 1 species
CCUACGGGAGGCAGCAGUGGGGAAUAUUGGACAAUGGGGGGAACCCUGAUCCAGCCAUGCCGCGUGUGUGAAGAAGGCCCUCGGGUUGUAAAGCACUUUCAGUGAGGAAGAACGCCUGGUGGUUAAUACCCAUCAGGAAAGACAUCACUCACAGAAGAAGCACCGGCUAACUCCGUGCCAGCAGCCGCGGUAAUACGGAGGGUGCGAGCGUUAAUCGGAAUUACUGGGCGUAAAGCGCGCGUAGGUGGCUUGAUAAGCCGGUUGUGAAAGCCCCGGGCUCAACCUGGGAACGGCAUCCGGAACUGUCAAGCUAGAGUGCAGGAGAGGAAGGUAGAAUUCCCGGUGUAGGGGUGAAAUGCGUAGAGUUCGGGAGGAAUACCAGUGGCGAAGGCGGCCUUCUGGACUGACACUGACACUGAGGUGCGAAAGCGUGGGUAGCAAACAGGAUUAGAUACCCGGGUAGUC